UAUACAUUGACCAGUUUCAGCUCCACUACUAAUAUAUAAUUAAUUUAGGGAUUUGCAUCUUUUUACAAAACACACCAUUUAUUGAUUAUUAGACUUUAAUUUACCGUAACGAGAGAAAGAGGUGAGGGAUUCUUACUCCAGAUCGAUGUUUGAAACACCGUUCUUUUCAUUGCGUCCCCUAACGAUUUCUAGGUUUCCUGAAUUUUUCCUGUAGAAAUAAAAAAUACAUGUCACGUAUCCAAAAAAAUAUCUCAAAAAGGUCAAAAUAAGUGUUUUAAAACUUUUUCAGCUGGUUUAAGGUUUCGGCAUGAUGUCGCCACCGUGCUCUGGCGCUGACCUCGCUGCUGUGCUCCGACGCUGACUCCGCCGCCGUGCUCCAGAGUCGACUUCGUCGCCCACGACUGUAGUUCCUUUCGGUCUGGUUAUUUUCGGCCAGUUUUGGCCAGUUUUCCAUGGAAACCUGUGAAAAACGAGGUUACAAAGCAUUUGUCGGCCGGGAAAGGGAAAAAUAGAGACCCUACUGGCGAAGGGGUCUCCCGAUGCAGCGACUCCAUCAUUCCUCAUUUGCGGUUGGAGUUUUU
rnacentral:lncRNA from 1 species